UCCGUGAAUUACCUUGGUUUCAUUUGUUCAAGUUACUCGAGAAUUAUAAUUUAAAGUAGCUUUAUUCAUAGCCAUUUAUUAAUCUUUUUCUCUUUCUUUCUUUCGUUUGAUGCAUGUAAAUUACACUCAAGUUCACCAUGAACUCCUCCCCAUUUCAUAUUUCGGAUGGGCCAUAGAGGUCUAAAAUCUAUCGAGUCAACCGGGUCAAUGAAUUCGAAGAACAGGUCCUUCACAAAUUGACGAACAUGGAUUAGAGUUGAUGCGGAUUUCUAUACACUCGGUGUAUACGAAAAAUGGGAAAAGGGGGUUCAAAAGACCCAUUCCUUAUUUUAUAAGUUGUAUUUUGUUAUUUUGGGCCUAAGCCCUUGUUAUUUUACUUAUUAUUGCCUUGUUAGAAUUUAGGACAGGUGGCAAGAAUUGGGCCUUUGGCCCAAAACGAAAUAGGCCCAAAUACUGAUCCAGGCGAAUAGAAACCAAAUUUGGGCCCAACUCUCUUUCCCCCUCUACUUUACUGUGUUCAUUUUACUUGUUAGUAUUUGUCGUUAAUCUUAAGGUUAAAAAAAAUUUGAAUCCCC
rnacentral:lncRNA from 1 species